GCAUAUCAAUAAGCGGAGGAAAAGAAACUAACAAGGAUUCCCCUAGUAACUGCGAGUGAAGCGGGAAAAGCUCAAAUUUAAAAUCUGGCAGCUUUGGCUGUCCGAGUUGUAUUCUGGAGAAGCGUUUUCUGUGCUGGACCGUGUACAAGUCUCUUGGAACAGAGCGUCAUAGAGGGUGAGAAUCCCGUCUUUGACACGGACUACCAGUGCUUUAUGAUGCGCUCUCAAUGAGUCGAGUUGUUUGGGAAUGCAGCUCAAAAUGGGUGGUAAAUUCCAUCUAAAGCUAAAUAUUGGCGAGAGACCGAUAGCGAACAAGUACCGUGAGGGAAAGAUGAAAAGCACUUUGGAAAGAGAGUUAAACAGUACGUGAAAUUGCUGAAAGGGAAACGCUUGAAGUCAGUCGCGUUUGCUAGUACUCAACCUGUCUUCUGACUGGUGCACUUACUAGUACACGGGCCAGCAUCAGUUUUGGCUGCGGGAAAAAGGUUGGAGGAAUGUGGCACCUUCGGGUGUGUUAUAGCCUCUGGUCAUAUACCGUGGCUGGGACUGAGGAUCUCAGCACGCCUUUAUGGCGGGGGUUCGCCCACCUUCGUGCUUAGGAUGCUGGCGUAAUGGCUUUAAACGACCCGUCUUGAAACACGGACCAAGGAGUCUAACAUGCCUGCGAGUGUUUGGGUGGAAAACCCGAGCGCGUAAUGAAAGUGAAAGUCGGGACCUCUGUCGUGGAGGGCACCGACGCCCGGACCAGACCUAUUGUGACGGAUCCGCGGUAGAGCAUGUAUGUUGGGACCCGAAAGAUGGUGAACUAUGCCUGAAUAGGGUGAAGCCAGAGGAAACUCUGGUGGAGGCUCGUAGCGAUUCUGACGUGCAAAUCGAUCGUCAAAUUUGGGUAUAGGGGCGAAAGACUAAUCGAACCAUCUAGUAGCUGGUUCCUGCCGA
rnacentral:rRNA from 1 species